CGGCGCGGAGGGGCGGAGCCGGUCCCCGUGGCGCCCCGCCCUCCUGGCGCUGCGGACUGCGCGGCGGUCCCCAGGAAACUCAGAGAACCCAGAAGUGGUGGGGGAAAGGGACUGAUACGCCUGAGGCAAAGUCCUCUCUUUUUAAAUAAAACCUUUAUAUGUGCAUACUGUUCAUUUGGAUGAGAAGUUUCUGUUUUGGACAUUACCUGUGGCAUCCAGCACUAUGCAGCCAUUUUGUGGCUAUGAGUGGAGUCAAGCAGAGAGAACAACAAGCUGAACAUAGCAGAGAAGAAAGAUGGAAAAGAUCCAGGGUCAUUGAAAAAUUAACCAACCCUAGACACCACAUCUGGCCUCCUGUUAUGUAAGAGAGUAAAUGUUCUUUUAGUAAAGUUUUCUGCAUUUUGCAGCCCAAUACUUCCUUUGCUGUAUAUCUCU